GUCACCCUGUAAGUAGAACAGCAAGACACUUGUAAUUCAUAUUGCAGAAAAAAAGAAGAAAGGAUUCUAAUAGUUAGAAUUGUGCUAGUCAAUUGAAAGUAUCGUCUUGUACAACAAUGAAGAGCCUGAUAGUUAUUCUAAUGAUUCCUGUACUAAUUGGCUCAUAUAAUCCUAAUCAUCAGAGGUGUCGAAGAGGAAAAUAUGCAAUCAAAACCAAUACUUGUCUACCCUCUUUCAGUUCUGAGGAACUCAAAGUUAUCAAGGAUGUUCAGGAAAUAGAUUCAGGGGUACGCUGUAUUACACAAGUGGUUCCAAAAUGUAGAAAAGUAAAAAAAAGUUGUCAAUAAGAAGAUUUGUUAUAACACUUAUAUAGAGUCUUCAGAAUAUUCAAAAGUAGAAACACAUGAGAUAUCCUAUACAAAUGAAAAGAAAGAUCUUCUCUCAAUUGACUGCUGGGAGGAACGCUAUAAAACCGUUGGACAUCAUCACAUAGGCCAUUGGUUUUGUGACUCUCAAUGUAAAAAUAAUCAUUUCAAAGUACCAUCACAAUCCAGGCCGAUUGUGAAAGAUGUGACCUGCAAUGGAGUAACCUCAAAGAAGGUUUGCAUUCCUUAUAAAAUCGAAUUAGAAGAAAACGUUUGUAAGGAAGAAAAAGUGAAGAAAUGCAUCACGAUAAACACAUUAGUUCAUCGUAACGCUACGUAUCAUCACAGUAACUACGAGCUUACAAAGCCUAGGUGUACAUGGAGACGGCUCAUACUUCAUUAUAAAAAAUGCGAUUCAAAACAAUAUUAGUUUUUAACGGAUUAAAAAACAAACAUAUUUGAAGGGGGAAAAAAGAUUUUUAUACAAAUAAAGUUUUGCAUUUACAA
rnacentral:lncRNA from 1 species